UACCAGCUCUCCGAGUGGUAGGGAUGUUUAUUGGGCUUAAAGCGUCCGUAGCCGGCUUAGCAAGUCUCCUGUUAAAUUCAGCGACCUAAUCGUUGAGCCGCGGGAGAUACUACUAGGCUAGGAGGCGGGAGAGGUCAACGGUACUUCCGGGGUAGGGGUGAAAUCCUAUAAUCCCGGGAGGACCACCAGUGGCGAAGGCUGUUGACUAGAACGCGCUCGACGGUGAGGGACGAAAGCUGGGGGAGCGAACCGGAUUAGAUACCCGGGUAGUCCCAGCUGUAAACGAUGCGAGCUAGGUGUUGGGGUGGCUACGUGCCACUUCAGUGCCGCAGGGAAGCCAUUAAGCUCGCCGCCUGGGGAGUACGGCCGCAAGGCUGAAACUUAAAGGAAUUGGCGGGGGAGCACCACAAGGCGUGAAGCUUGCGGCUC
rnacentral:rRNA from 1 species